ensembl:lncRNA
GUUGGUGAUGGUACAGUAGAAAAUUGAUUGAAAGCAUCCAGUCAUCUCAUACCACUGAAGUUAUUAAACUUUAUCAGUAUAUUUUGUAAUAAAUGUUUGAGAAAUUAUUGUAUCUAAUUGUAUUCGUCUAUACAGAGUGAUAGUCAAAGUAAAAACAGCAAAUGUGAGAGACAGAUGAACACAAAACAGGUUCAUUCAGAAUGAUUCCUUGACUCAUGAUUCAGUUCUGUAGUGUUUUGUUCCAGUGCUCAUGAAUCAGUGAUCGUGUGUUUGUCAGAUGCCCAUUCUCUUCAGGAUCUACUCAUGGAUUACUAUGUCGCUAGAGAUCUGAGUAAGUUUGGUGAUCAUAUCCCGAAGGACGUGGCUCAGUUGGUGAGAUGGUGAUGGUCAUCGAUUCAGUCCACAGACUCGGUUAUGUGCACAGGUAUCUGUACUAACACAGACCAGUUCACCUAAACAUGGAAAUCACGACAGAAUGAAUGAUUCGUUUAAUGUCAUCAGACAAUGGUUUUAUUCAGAAAGUGCCCUAAAGGACAUGUUUAGUAAAGUGUAAAAUGAACUGAGGUGGAUUUACAUGAACCCACUAGAGGAGAUGAUUCUGCUGAGCUCGUGUGCUCCUGGGCCAGAGUCAAGUCAAGCCUCGAGGGAAGACAGUCAUUAGGCCAAAGGUCAAAGGCCUUCAGUGUCCUUCUGCCGAGUCAUCAAUCUCACAAUUCAGCUGACCAUACACAAGGGCUUUGUGAUUGGCUGGAUAUCGUGGUCCAGUUCGCCACUGGAGUCUCUAGUAAAGAGCGUGGCACCACCAUCAGCCAAUCAGCGACUGCCAUUGAGAUUUAAGACAUGUUCCUGGAUCAACAUUACUGUCCAAAAAUAUAGACCUAACCCAGUCCCUACCCCUAAACCUAACCCUACCCACAAUUUAUUCCUAAAAUCAGAGAGAAAUGAUAGGUGAAUAACCCUGACUGUAAGCCUAAAACUGAAAUUUCUUCCCUCGAUUCUGAUUAAAUGAUUGGAAUGUUGUUCUAGGAUCAACAAGGAUGUUUAUCGAGGAACAUGUUGUACUUGAAUGAAUGUGAAUGCAGACAGAGAAUAUCUCCAGGUAUUGAUGCUCCAGCUUUCUCCCUGUAAUAUUCCCAUUCCUAUCUUUUGUGAUGUUGUGUGUGUUUGUGUUGCUUAACUGGAAACAUCAACCCGAUUUUAUUUUUAUUUAUUUUUAGUAUUAUUUGAUUUUACGUUAUUGUAUUUUUCCAUUUACUGUGUUUUUGAUGUUUUAUUUUCAAAGGUAAUAUUAA